rnacentral:rRNA from 1 species
UACGUGAGGGGGCAAGCGUUGUCCGGAUUUAUUGGGCGUAAAGAGCGUGUAGGCGGUUUGGUAGGUCCGCUGUGAAAACGUCGAGGCUCAACCUCGAGACGCCGGUGGAAACCAUCAGACUAGAGUCGGAAGAGGAGAGUGGAAUUCCUGGUGUAGCGGUGAAAUGACGCAGAGUAUACAGGAAGAACACCCGUGGCUAAGGCGGCUCUCUAGUACGGUACUGACGCUGAGAGCGAAAGCGUGGGGAGCGAAACAGG